ACUCCCACCCCAGCCGCCAAACGAACCCUAGCCCUCUUUCUCUUUCCCCUCGAUCCCCACGAGCCGCCGCACCCCUCCCUCGAUCCCCACGAUCCUCUCCUCGCCAGCAGCCGCCGACCGACCUCGUCUCUCCACUCGCCUCCUCCUCUCCUCUACCAUGUCGUCGUCGAUCCCACCGCCAGCCUUCUCCUCUACUCGCCUCCUCCUGUCCUCUUCCAUGUCACCGUCGAUCCAGAUCGGACAUAGGUCGUCUUUGCGGUGCGGGUGGGGAUGUAGGGGAGGUGUAGGAUGCGCACGACAAGGGAAGGAGGAGGCCGGGGAGGAAGGCAAGCAACAGCGGGGAAGGAGAAGGAGAGCGAUCCUAGGAUGGGGAAGGAGCUCGAGGUGAACAGGCGGUGUGGGAAGGCGAGAGGAUCCAGGAGCUCAUCCCUCCUCCCAUGGCUACCUCGUGGAUCUGGAGUAUAAGGAGGGCAACAUGUGCCUGUUGCCGGCGGCUCGAGCGAUGCAAGCCGGCGGCAAACUAGAAAAGAAAGCCUCCUCGGACAUUAAGAAGGUACAACUAGGUAGCAGUGGAAGUGCUCCGUUCAAAAACAAGAACUUAGCAGAAGCUCUACAUAUGCAAAUGGAGGUUCAGACACAGCUCCAUGAACAGCUAUAGGAUUCCUACUAGAACAUGUCAUUCCAAAUUGUGACAAUGAUCUUUCUACUCAUGAGCAGUCCUUUUUUAUACUGAAUACGCAUCAAAGAAGGCCUCCUCAGAAAUUAAGAAGGAACUUGGCAGAAGCUCUACAUAUGCAAAUGGAGGUUCAGACACAGCUCUAAUAGGAUGGUGUUGUUGUCGGCACAUAUUUCUGAUAGUAGGAGCAUUCUUUUUCUUGCUUCACAAUAAUUACUGCGCUUUGUGUAUAUAUGAACCCAAAUCCAUAUUUAAAUGGGUGCUAAAUGUUUUUGCAGCAUGGUUGACUUUGAAGACUAGUGCUUUUAUAGUAUUGUUAUGGACUCUGUUUUUUACUAAUAAUUGUAUUGAUUCUGCCGAACUAAUCCUCUCUUUGUAUAUCUAGGAUUCCUACUAGAACAUAUCAUUUCAAAUUGCGACGAUGAUCUUUCUACUCAUGAGCAGUCAUUUUUUAUACUGAAUUUUGAUGCAUACUGUAUGCAGACAAGAAGGCCUCCUUGGACAAUAAGAAGGUACGAGGCAACUCGCCUCCAGGAGGCUUCCCCGAUUGGUUGUUCGUUGGUCGUCGGAUCUGCUUUUUUCGUGCAUCUGGACCAUUGAUCUUCACAGCAGUUAAACUCAGUUUUCACCCCGCAGUCGUUUUCGUCGUCCAAUGAUUGGUGGGCUCGCAUCGCACGUUGGUUGGCUGGGUUGCCCGUUUGCAGGUGCAGGUGGUUUUUCCCAAUCAGCUCGGCGCGCCCGCACCCAAUCACCCGCGUCUCGCCCCACUCCCACCCCAGCCGCCAAACGAACCCUAGCCCUCUUUCUCUUUCCCAUCGAUCCCCACGAGCCGCCGCACCCCUCCCUCGAUUCCCACGAUCCUCUCCUCGCCAGCAGCCGCCGGCCGACCUCGUCUCUCCACUCGCCUCCUCCUCUCCGCUACCAUGUCGUCGUCGAUCCCACCGCCAGCCUUCUCCUCUGCUCGCCUCCUCCUAUCCUCUUCCAUCUCACCGUCGAUCCAGAUUGGACAUAGGUCAUCUUUGCGGUGCAGGUGGGGAUGUAGGGGAGGUGUAGGAUGCGGACGACAAGGGAAGGAGGAGGCCGGGGAGGAAGGCAAGCAACAGCGGGGAAGGAGAAGGUGAGCGAUCCUAGCAUGGGGAAGGAGCUCGAGGUGAACAGGUGGUGUGGGAAGGCGAGAGGAACCAGGAGCUCAUCCCUCCUCCCAUGACUGCCUCGUGGAUCUGGAGUAUAAGGAGGACAACAUGUGCCUGUUGCCGGCGGCUCGAGCGAUGCAAGCCGGCGGUGAACUAGAAAACAAAGCCUCCUCGGACAUUAAGAAGGUACAACUAGGUAACAGUGGAAGUGCUCCGUUCAAAAACAAGAACUUGGCAGAAGCUCUACAUAUGCAAAUGGAGGUUCAGACACAGCUCCAUGAACAGCUAUAGGAUUCCUACUAGAACAUGUCAUUCCAAAUUGCGACAAUGAUCUUUCUACUCAUGAGCAGUCCUUUUUUAUACAGUAUUUUGAUGCAUACUGUAUGCAGACAAGAAGGCCUCCUCAGACAUUAAGAAGGAACUUGGCAGAAGCUCUACAUAUGCAAAUGCAGGUUCAGACACAGCUCCAUGAACAGGAUUCCUACUAGAACAUGUCAUUCCAAAUUGCGACAAUGACCUUUCUACUCAUGAGCAGUCCUUUUUUAUACUGAAUUUUGAUGCAUACUGUAUGCAGAGAAGAAGGCCUCCUUGGACAAUAAGAAGGUACGUCUAGGUAGCAGUGGAAGUGCUCCGUUCAAAAACAAGAACUUGGCAGAAGCUCUACAUAUGCAAAUGGAGGUUCAGACACAGCUCCAUAAAUAGGAUUCCUACUAGAACAUGUCAUUCCAAAUUGCGACAAUGAUCUUUCUACUCAUGAGCAGUCCUUUUUUAUACUGAAUACGCAUCAAAGAAGGCCUCCUCAGAUAUUAAGAAGGAACUUGGCAGAAGCUCUACAUAUGCAAAUGGAGGUUCAGACACAGCUCCAUGAACAGGUCAAUAGCCAUGAAUAGGAGCAAGGCAUCACACUCCAGCUCUGAGAAGAAAAAGAUAUGAAGACAGAGAUAGAUCAGUGUUCUGCUCCGAAGCAAAAACAUUUCGCAUGUAAUAAUGAACUGUAGUUUACCACAGUCUCUAAAACAGGCCUACCUAUUACCAGUCCGUUGCUUGCCUUUUUUAGGAUGUAUGACUCAGUCGUAUAUAUUUACAUUCGCGUUGUUUA